rnacentral:tRNA from 2 species
UAAAGGAUUAGUUUAACCCAAAACAUUAAUUUGUCAAAUUAAAGAUAAUAAUUUUAUUAUUCUUUAA